CCUGAUAGAGCCAGCACACAGCUGCCGGGAGCCGACUGUCUUCCCUGGGACUCGGUGCGUUGGGCUGUGGAACGUUCCGGGAGCUGAGCGGCGAGGCCUGGGCUACUACUGGGGCGCGUUUGUGCUUAGAGACACGAGACAGCUCUGGAGCCUCGUACCGUGGCAAGGCGGAGAAAAAUCCUCGCACCUGGCCAGACACAGCCUGUGCAUCGCUUCUCGGGUGGGCACUACGAAUUUGGGGAGAGGAAGGCAACCCGUGUGUGGAACUGCGCACAAGUGCUGACAGCCAGUACUCCUAGCACACACCCGGGUGCCGGGUUGGAGCGCCCUGGAGCAGCCCACCACUGUUUGGCUGAACCCGCUAGGGUGACCUCCCCGCGUGCUCACUUUUCUGGCGUGGGAGGGGUGCGUGUGAGGGAUCGAGAGCGCACUCGAAGAGUUCCCUCACAGUGUUCUGAAGCCGAGGGGCAAUAGAUGUGUGAUGCGGCCGCUGUGUCAGUGUUAGCACCCACUCUGCGCUUGCAGCCUGGAAAGAAGAGGAAGGCAGAUAGUGCCAAGGAUCAGGUGAGCGCGGCCAGGCAACAGGGCAGCUUCCAGUUGAGCUCAGGAACUGCCUUCUCUGUUAGCUUGCUUAGGAAUUUGCAUUUCGUUUUAUUCCUCUGCGUAAUUUUUCGUCUGAAUCCCCAUGCAGUGGGUGGGAGUGUGGAAAUGACCCCCAAGUCUGCCAGCAUAGAUCUCCUGGGCCGAAAACUCGGAGGCCCGGGUCUUCCCAAGUUGAGCGGGAAGGACUUGGCGGCGAUGUAAAGACAGCGCCCCGCUAUCCCAAGCCUCUCUAGACUAAGGUGCAGAGAAAGCUGCGGGCCGACCGAGGGGACAGCUGAGCCCCACCUGAAUCAUACCGGAGAUUUUAAGUGAAUUCGGCGUCCCCCGAGGGGGGGAGGACACGCAGGGAGGUAAAGCCAAGGCAGCGGAGGGUAGACUCGAUUUGAUGAGACCCGGGCUGAGUUGACUGACUCAUGGGUCCAUGCCGCUUCCCACCCUCAUUCUCAGCCCGGCGCCCUGUUCUGAGUCCUGGUGAAGAGAAAGGUAAAAGGCGGAAUGAAGGUUUGUUAAUUAACUGAUCGUUCUCCAUUAAUUCGUCCCUGGAGGACGAGAGACAGUCAAUCCGCUCUGAGCCGGGGGCACUGAGCCGUUUCACAGUCUAAAAUCAAAGCGAGAGGCCAGAGCUCCCUCCCACCUCGUGAUGGCCAAUGAGAUGUCAGAUGGAGUCAGGUGCCGGCGUGACAGUAAGCCUGCGGCUCGAGCUCCGGUGCCACCCAAAACACUCCUGGGUCUGGGCAGUCGUGGUCUCCCAGCCCAAGCACCGCACUGGCUGAGCCUCUGCCCCGCCAAGUUUUCCAGCCCACGCAGACUCUUGCAGCCUGCACCAGGAAGCUAGACGAAGCGGAGGCCGGGGGAUAGGCGGAGGAAGGGAGACGUUGACUAAGCGCCGUCCCUCCCCGCCUCCCACCCGUGAUUCUCCUCUCUAGCCCUGUGUGAUGCCACCAUAUAGCACUCCCGGUGAGCUGACCCAGACCAGAGGGCAGCUGGAAGUUUCAGAAAGAGUGGCAGAAACGACCACUCCUCCCUGACUGCUCCGCCUCUGCCGGCGGCCGAGGUAGUCAGUGCCUUUUUCACAGGCCCACCCCAGCCUCGAGCCCCAGCUUCAGGACCUUUUACGCAGGCAUUGCCGGCACAAGCCGUCCCCCCUUGGAAAGACGGAUUGACAGGUUGUCUUCGGAGACGAUCCCAAGCCCGGGCAACCCACCCCCACCCUAGGGCCCUGCCCUGCGCGAGCACCCUUUGACCUCCACGCGUGGGCUCCUCAGUGCUGGUGAGGGGAGAGCCGGAGUACUGCGGCCAGCACACGGGAGGCGCAGGCAACCUGCUCGCUGGGGCUCACAGGGACCCAGAGGUUAUCGAAGGGCCCUGUCCGACACCCAGCAGCGAGUGUUCUGCCUGCAGGAGACUUAAAAAGGAUUGCAGAGCAUUGUGGCCGCGGCUGUGGGACAUUGCCGGCUCCUCCCCAUCGCUGGCUCCCAUGCACUGAGGUGCCUCUUGCAGCUUUGCUCGCUGUUACACUCAAAAGACCCCUCAACCUCUUCUUGACCCCAUGCGAGACCGGAGCCCACGGAGGUCAGUUCCUUCGCUCGGUGGCGGAAGAGAGGUUUCAUGGUCCUCACUACCCCUGGUUCCACACAGCAGGUUGUGCAGGGUGAAAAAACUCCGCACGUGGCAGCGUGUUUGGGGAGACGCUUUCUCGUUACUAAAUUACAUCAGCUGGUGGAAAAGGAAGACAGGAGGAAAUUCUCACCAAAUUAACUACCCUUAAAAAAUCAAUAUAUGUUCCUUCAAUGUAAUACUUGCUGCUGCCCCAUUAAAGCGCAACCAGGCUUGUGCCUCAUC